CUUAAGAAAAUCUAAUGGUGCUUCUGUACGUUUUCAUCUCUGAGUGUGUUUUAGAAGUGAAGCCCACAGAAUGCUUGGUGUUUAUGGUACAUGUCUUGUCAUCACCUGUGUCAGCUGUCAAACCAGAAAACUAUUAGCAACCUACUAUGUUGCAUUCAUCAAACUAUACCAGUGCUCAUUGAGAGGUUUAGCUCAUGAAACUUCAUUUGUAAAGAAUACUUCCCGUUGAGGAAUGUCACCAAAGAUGCAAAUCCUAUGGGUAGGAAUACCAUAAUAUCGUUCUUCUACUCUUUAACCACUUGUGGUCUCCUGUCAAUCGUGAUCUGAGUGGUGCACCAUAUUCAUCUUCGUUGCAGUGUCAACUGUAAUGACAGUCAUUUUGGCAGUUGUAAUCUCUACUUAGCCUACCAACGGACACAGACAUUUUGCUUUUUUAUUUAAAUUGAACAUUCAACCAUAGAAUUGCCAACUCUUAGCCGUCUGCUGCCUAUUUGCUGGCCCUACAGUCUUUCUAGCCAUCAGACAGCAGAAAACAAAACCUUCUUCGUCUUCGCCGCGCCCGUCGUCACCUCGCCCGUCAUCCCGUCUUCACUUCGCCCGUCGUCCCGUCUUCGCUUCGCCCGUCGUCCC